CUGGGGAAGGAUCAUUU
rnacentral:rRNA from 1 species